UACAAUAGAAUGGCUUACAAGGGCGGUCGGCUAAUCUCCCGGAAGGGAGGUGAUGCCAAUGAGCGUAUAUGAAGCACUAUCCGUAAUGCUCCAAUUCGGACUUUGGAUACUUGCGUUAAUAACCCUAGUUAUUACGCUGCUGAUAUAUCUCGCUAAACGAAAAUAGACCGCCUUCGACAAAGGUAUGCGGUCUAUUUCGCCUAACUUAAAGUAAGCCCUCCGCCCUUAAAAGCGGCUAUUGUGCUAGGAGUCGGCUGCAACCGACUCC
rnacentral:sRNA from 1 species